rnacentral:rRNA from 1 species
CCCUGUUAUUUUAUAAUAAAAAAAUAUCCUAAGAGAUUUUAAUCAAAAAACUUUGACGGUAUUAAUAUUUAUAAAGGAGUUUGUUUUUUAAUAGAUAACCCACAAUUUACCUUACUUAAAUUAUAUUUGUAUAUCACCGUAUAGAUUUUAUUUAAAAUUUCAUAAUGAAUAAUUUCAAAAUAUCAGGUCAUAACGCAGUUUUUUUAAGAUAAAAUGAACUACAGUAAUUUAUUAUAAACAGAUUAUUUUUUGAAAUAAAAAUAUGAAGAAGGAUUUAUUAGUAAAUAAAAAAUAAAUUAUUAUAUUGAAAAUUAUUAUUAAUAUGUACAUAUCGCCCG